GUGAGGAAUAUUGGUCAAUGGGCGAGAGCCUGAACCAGCCAUCCCGCGUGAAGGAAGAAAGCGCUAUGCGUUGUAAACUUCUUUUCCAGGGGAAUAAAGUUAUAUACGGGUAUAUAAUUGAAGGUACCCUGGGAAUAAGCAUCGGCUAACUCCGUGCCAGCAGCCGCGGUAAUACGGAGGAUGCGAGCGUUAUCCGGAUUUAUUGGGUUUAAAGGGUGCGUAGGCGGAUUAUUAAGUCAGUGGUGAAACCCUGCAGCUUAACUGUAGACUUGCCAUUGAUACUGAUAGUCUUGAGUAUGGUCAAGGCAGGCGGAAUGUGUAAUGUAGCGGUGAAAUGCUUAGAUAUUACACAGAACACCGAUAGCGAAGGCAGCUUGCUGGGCCGUUACUGACGCUGAUGCACGAAAGCGUGGGGAUCGAACAGGAUUAGAAACCCCAGUAGUCC
rnacentral:rRNA from 1 species